GACGAACGCUGGCGGCGUGCCUAAUACAUGCAAGUCGAGCGAGCAGAACCAGCAGAUUUACUUCGGUAAUGACGCUGGGGACGCGAGCGGCGGAUGGGUGAGUAACACGUGGGGAACCUGCCCCAUAGUCUAGGAUACCACUUGGAAACAGGUGCUAAUACCGGAUAAUAAAGCAGAUCGCAUGAUCAGCUUAUAAAAGGCGGCGUAAGCUGUCGCUAUGGGAUGGCCCCGCGGUGCAUUAGCUAGUUGGUAAGGUAACGGCUUACCAAGGCAAUGAUGCAUAGCCGAGUUGAGAGACUGAACGGCCACAUUGGGACUGAGACACGGCCCAAACUCCUACGGGAGGCAGCAGUAGGGAAUCUUCCACAAUGGACGCAAGUCUGAUGGAGCAACGCCGCGUGAGUGAAGAAGGUUUUCGGAUCGUAAAGCUCUGUUGUUGGUGAAGAAGGAUAGAGGUAGUAACUGGCCUUUAUUUGACGGUAAUCAACCAGAAAGUCACGGCUAACUACGUGCC
rnacentral:rRNA from 1 species